GGCCCCAUCGUCUAACGGUUAGGACGCCGCUUUCUCUAAGCGGAAAUAUUGGUUCGAUUCCUUUUGGGGUCA
rnacentral:tRNA from 1 species